rnacentral:rRNA from 1 species
GAUGAACGCUAGCGGCAGGCCUAAUACAUGCAAGUCAAGGGGCCCAGCAAUGGGCACCGGCGGACGGGUGCGUAACGCGUACACAAUCUACCCUGGAGCGGGGGAUAGCAUCGGGAAACUGGUGGUAAUACCCCAUAGUUUUGUGAGUUGGCAUCAACUUACAAAUAAAGUUCCGGCGCUCUGGGAUGAGUGUGCGUCCGAUUAGCUAGUUGGUAGGGUAACGGCCUACCAAGGCGACGAUCGGUAGGGGGUGUGAGAGCAUGACCCCCCACACGGGUACUGAGACACGGACCCGACUCCUACGGGAGGCAGCAGUAAGGAAUAUUGGACAAUGGAGGCAACUCUGAUCCAGCCAUGCCGCGUGCAGGAAGAAGGCGCUCAGCGUUGUAAACUGCUUUUGACUGGGAACAAAACCCCGAACGUGUUCGGGACUGAGGGUACCAGUAGAAUAAGCACCGGCUAACUCCGUGCCAGCCGCCGCGGUAAUAC